rnacentral:rRNA from 1 species
AUUGAACGCUGGCGGCAGGCCUAACACAUGCAAGUCGAGCGGAUGAAGGGAGCUUGCUCCUGGAUUCAGCGGCGGACGGGUGAGUAAUGCCUAGGAAUCUGCCUGGUAGUGGGGGAUAACGUCCGGAAACGGGCGCUAAUACCGCAUACGUCCUGAGGGAGAAAGUGGGGGAUCUUCGGACCUCACGCUAUCAGAUGAGCCUAGGUCGGAUUAGCUAGUUGGUGGGGUAAAGGCCUACCAAGGCGACGAUCCGUAACUGGUCUGAGAGGAUGAUCAGUCACACUGGAACUGAGACAGGUCCAGACUCCUACGGGAGGCAGCAGUGGGGAAUAUUGGACAAUGGGCGAAAGCCUGAUCCAGCCAUGCCGCGUGUGUGAAGAAGGUCUUCGGAUUGUAAAGCACUUUAAGUUGGGAGGAAGGGCAGUAAGUUAAUACCUUGCUGUUUUGACGUUACCAACAGAAUAAGCACCGGCUAACUUCGUG